rnacentral:lncRNA from 1 species
GGGAAGGUUGUGUAAGAUCCUUAACAUCUUAGUCAAACUCUGGCCCUCUUUCAUGAGCAGAGUCCUGAUGUCCUGGGAGCCUGGAAGGAUGGGGCCAAAUCUCGGAGAAGGAGAGCAGUACUCACCCAGAAGCACAAGAACUCUGACAUGACAGAGGUGAUGUGGCAACCAGCUCUUAGGCGUGGGAGAGGCCUGGAGGCCCAAGGAGACACUGUUCGAGUCCGGGACACUGGAAUUUAUCUGCUAUAUAGUCAGGUCCUGUUUCAUGAUGUGACUUUCACCAUGGGUCAGGUGGUAUCUCGGGAAGGCCAAGGGAGAAGGGAGACUCUAUUCCGGUGUAUCAAAAGUAUGCCUUCUGAUCCUGACCGUGCCUACAACAGCUGCUACAGUGCAGGUGUCUUUCACUUACAUCAAGGGGAUAUUAUCACUGUCAAAAUUCCUCGGGCAAACGCAAAACUUAGCCUUUCUCCACAUGGAACAUUCCUGGGGUUUGUGAAACUAUGACUGUGCUAUAAAGGUGGGGUUCCCAUUCCAAGAACUGGCUAGACAAAGGACAGCAAGUGGUCAAGAACCGUUCUCCUUGGUUUUGACGUCUUGACUGUUGUUCCCCGCUUUGCCUUUCCCGAUCCCACUAUCUGGGUUCUGAUUCCAUAGAUAUUAAAGAAGUAGAAUAUUUUGUGUCUAUCUCCCACAUGGCCCCAAAUUCUUUUGUUGUGU